rnacentral:rRNA from 1 species
GACGAACGCUGGCGGCGUGCUUAACACAUGCCAGUCGAACGGAAAGGCCCUGCUUUUGUGGGGUGCUCGAGUGGCGAACGGGUGAGUAACACGUGAGUAACCUGCCCUUGACUUUGGGAUAACUUCAGGAAACUGGGGCUAAUACCGGAUAGGAGCUCCUGCUGCAUGGUGGGGGUUGGAAAGUUUCGGCGGUUGGGGAUGGACUCGCGGCUUAUCAGCUUGUUGGUGGGGUAGUGGCUUACCAAGGCUUUGACGGGUAGCCGGCCUGAGAGGGUGACCGGCCACAUUGGGACUGAGAUACGGCCCAGACUCCUACGGGAGGCAGCAGUGGGGAAUAUUGCACAAUGGGCGGAAGCCUGAUGCAGCAACGCCGCGUGCGGGAUGACGGCCUUCGGGUUGUAAACCGCUUUCGCCUGUGACGAAGCGUGAGUGACGGUAAUGGGUAAAGAAGCGCCGGCUAACUACGUG